rnacentral:rRNA from 1 species
UACGUAGGUGGCGAGCGUUGUCCGGAAUUACUGGGUGUAAAGCGCGUGUAGGCGGCAGGCCAAGUCGGUGGUGAAAGCGCCCGGCUCAACUGGGCGAGGUCCAUGGAAACUGGUCAGCUGGAGGACGGUAGAGGCGAGUGGAAUUCCUGGUGUAGCGGUGGAAUGCGUAGAGAUCCGGAAGAACACCGGUGGCGAAGGCGGUUGCCUGGAGCUUUGCUGACGCUGAGGCGCGAAAGCGUGGGGAGCGAUCCGG